UUGAUCGCUUGGUUAGCCCAAGAUACUAUGUGGAAUGAGAAGAUUCCUAUGUUGAUCAGUUUGAGGAUAAGGGAGUUACAGUUCUAAAGAGCACAGAAAAGAUUUCCAGACUACCGAAUGUACUCCCAUCUGCCCUUGUCCCUUCCAAGUUGCUCAAGCACGGAGAGGGAUUUGAGUGGUUAUACUGUGGAAGUCCAGAAAUAACAAACAUCACUUCUACUCUAUGGCCAGAAGCAGUGGGUGUUAUACCCAUCGCCUUUCUACCAUGACAGAUCAAUUAACUCAGCAACAUUAAGUUCCAGCUGUUGCUCAGGAAAAACAAGGAACAGAACACUCUGAAUAUUAAAGGGAAAGGCAGCAACCCAUACCUCCCUCAAUUUGGAGAAAAGGUUCUGCUAAUUAGCAGUAACAGAAAGGACUGAAGCUAUUUCCCAGUCCCAGAGAAGCAAAAGUGUGAACUGAAAUCCCACAGAAAGUCAUCAGCUCUGGAUCAGAGGGAGUUGUGCUCACAGCAGUGUGUGUGACCGUACUCAGAAUACCUGUGUGUUCUGAGACUCUACUGCCCAUUUGUAUGCACAGUGACCUUACAAAUGCUGUUAACCCAGUAUGAUAGAUAAGAAAUCACCUUACUCCUAAAUUUUGUGUUCCUAAUUCUGCUAUUACUGGGAAGAAGUGAAUCAAUCAGAUCAAUAUCACAAGUUUGCGAGAAAAAGUGUGGUAUACGAAUCUUAAUUUUUGUCAUUUUAUAGAGUACAAAGUAGCAUGCAAAAUAAGCAUAGAAAUUCUCCAUCCAUACUUUUUAAGAUUUGUGCAUUCUAUUAUAUGUAAAAUACACUUCA